CGGCACUAAUGGAUCCGACGCACUGAUCCAUCCUGAAGCACUAAAACAACAAAGUGGCUCCUUCCUAUCUUCCUAUCGGGCUAAUUGAGACACUUAAGGCUCUUGGUGGUCACACUUCAGCAGCCAAUCAGAGGGCAGAGCUGAACUUCACACUGAGCUGAUACAGAGGAGGGAAAGGAAAGGAGAUCCUGCAAUGGAAAAGAAGUCAGUUUCUUUUUUGAAAUUCAACGCUGGGAUUUAGAUUAGAGGAGGAGCAGCAAAUUCAUGAAGAAAGAUAGAAUGGAGAUUUAUCAAGCAACCCCUUGAGCGGGCC
ensembl:lncRNA